rnacentral:rRNA from 1 species
UACGAAGGGGGCUAGCGUUGUUCGGAAUUACUGGGCGUAAAGGGCUCGUAGGCGGCCAACUAAGUCGGACGUGAAAUCCCUCGGCUUAACCGGGGAACUGCGUCCGAUACUGGAUGGCUUGAGUUCGGGAGAGGGAUGCGGAAUUCCAGGUGUAGCGGUGAAAUGCGCAGAUAUCAGGAAGAACACCCGUGGCUAAGGCGGCUCUCUAGUACGUGACUGACGCUGAGACGCGAAAGCGUGGGGGAGCGAAACAGG